GAUAAUGGCUCAGGAUGAACGCUGGCGGCGUGCUUAACACAUGCAAGUCGAACGAAGCACUUAAGAUUGAUUCUUCGGAUGACGUCUUUUGUUGACUUAGUGGCGGACGGGUGAGUAACGCGUGGGUAACCUGCCUCACACAGGGGGAGUAACAGUUAGAAAUGACUGCUAAUACCGCAUAACCCGAUAGGAUCGCAUGAUCCAGACGGAAAAGAUUUAUCGGUGUGAGAUGGACCCGCGU
rnacentral:rRNA from 1 species